CACAAAGGCAAAAUGACGAAACUGACGAAAAUCAACUAGAGGUGGGAAAACAGCGAUGCCAACAUCGAUGUCAAACAUCGAUAUUUUCGAAGAAUCACAAACAUCGGUUUUUUUUCGAGCAAUCAUCGUAUAAAUUGAAAACGGAGGAGAAAAACUAAAACACGUGCGCACGCUAGAAACCCCAAGGGCCAACUGGCGAAUCUGACGAAAAUCGACUAGAGGUGGAGAAAAAUUGAUGCCAACAUCGAUGUCAAACAUCGAUAUUUUCGAAGAAUCACAAACAUCGGUUUGUUUUUUCGAGGAAUCAUCGUAUAAAUUGAAAACGGAGGAGAAAAACUAAAACACGUGCGCACGCUAGAAACCCCAAGGGCCAACUGGCGAAACUGACGAAAAUCGACUAGAGGUGGAGAAAAAUUGAUGCCAACAUCGAUGUCAAACAUCGAUAUUUUCGAAGAAUCACAAACAUCGGUUUGUUUUUUCGAGGAAUCAUCGUAUAAAUUGAAAACGGAGGAGAAAAACUAAAACACGUGCGCACGCUAGAAACCCCAAGGGCCAACUGGCGAAACUGACGAAAAUCGACUAGAGGUGGAGAAAAAUUGAUGCCAACAUCGAUGUCAAACAUCGAUAUUUUCGAAGAAUCACAAACAUCGGUUUGUUUUUUCGAGGAAUCAUCGUAUAAAUUGAAAACGGAGGAGAAAAACUAAAACACGUGCGCACGCUAGAAACCCCAAGGGCCAACUGGCGAAACUGACGAAAAUCGACUAGAGGUGGAGAAAAAUUGAUGCCAACAUCGAUGUCAAACAUCGAUAUUUUCGAAGAAUCACAAACAUCGGUUUGUUUUUUCGAGGAAUCAUCGUAUAAAUUGAAAACGGAGGAGAAAAACUAAAACACGUGCGCACGCUAGAAACCCCAAGGGCCAACUGGCGAAACUGACGAAAAUCGACUAGAGGUGGAGAAAAAUUGAUGCCAACAUCGAUGUCAAACAUCGAUAUUUUCGAAGAAUCACAAACAUCGGUUUGUUUUUUCGAGGAAUCAUCGUAUAAAUUGAAAACGGAGGAGAAAAACUAAAACACGUGCGCACGCUAGAAACCCCAAGGGCCAACUGGCGAAACUGACGAAAAUCGACUAGAGGUGGAGAAAAAUUGAUGCCAACAUCGAUGUCAAACAUCGAUAUUUUCGAAGAAUCACAAACAUCGGUUUGUUUUUUCGAGGAAUCAUCGUAUAAAUUGAAAACGGAGGAGAAAAACUAAAACACGUGCGCACGCUAGAAACCCCAAGGGCCAACUGGCGAAACUGACGAAAAUCGACUAGAGGUGGAGAAAAAUUGAUGUCAAUAUCGAUGUCAAACAUCGAUAUUUUCGAAGAAUCACAAACAUCGGUUUGUUUUUUCGAGGAAUCAUCGUAUAAUUUGAAAACGGAGGAGAAAAACUAAAACACGUGCGCACGCUAGAAACCCCAAGGGCCAACUGGCGAAACUGACGAAAAUCGACUAGAGGUGGAGAAAAAUUGAUGCCAACAUCGAUGUCAAACAUCGAUAUUUUCGAAGAAUCACAAACAUCGGUUUGUUUUUUCGAGGAAUCAUCGUAUAAUUUGAAAACGGAGGAGAAAAACUAAAACACGUGCGCACGCUAGAAACCCCAAGGGCCAACUGGCGAAACUGACGAAAAUCGACUAGAGGUGGAGAAAAAUUGAUGCCAACAUCGAUGUCAAACAUCGAUAUUUUCGAAGAAUCACAAACAUCGGUUUGUUUUUUCGAGGAAUCAUCGUAUAAAUUGAAAACGGAGGAGAAAAACUAAAACACGUGCGCACGCUAGAAACCCCAAGGGCCAACUGGCGAAACUGACGAAAAUCGACUAGAGGUGGAGAAAAAUUGAUGUCAAUAUCGAUGUCAAACAUCGAUAUUUUCGAAGAAUCACAAACAUCGGUUUGUUUUUUCGAGGAAUCAUCGUAUAAUUUGAAAACGGAGGAGAAAAACUAAAACACGUGCGCACGCUAGAAACCCCAAGGGCCAACUGGCGAAACUGACGAAAAUCGACUAGAGGUGGAAAAAAAUUGAUGUCAAUAUCGAUGUCAAACAUCGAUAUUUUCGAAGAAUCACAAACAUCGGUGUUUUUCGAGCAAUCAUCGUAUAAAUUUGGUGUUGGCUGGCGUCGUGAAAGACAUGGAGAACAUGGUGGAGAAACAUCGAUGCAAACAUCUCUAAAAUCAACGCAUGUACGAAAUGGUGUACAAGGAGAAUGCAGUGAUAACGCGAGCAGCUGAGCAUUGCCGUCUCGCUCGCACGCGUGCGGUGCGUGUGUACGUGAGAAAGCGCACAGCAAAGGCAACAGCGAAAAAUUCCGGUUGUGAAAAAGGGAGAAAGAAAAAAGCGUUUGUUACAACCAGGGGCGUUAGAAAAGGGUUGUGCCAAUGUAGACAAAUAAAUAGCAAAACGGUA